UGAAAUCAUUGUUACUGAUAAUCUUUGACAUGUCCAACACUGAUAUAAAACAAUGUCACAUCCCUCCACCAUGUAUUAUACUGAUAAUAUCUCCUAUUUUUUGUGUUUAUGUGUUUUAACAAGGCAACUGGUAUCAUGUUCUCAGACU